rnacentral:rRNA from 1 species
GAUGAACGCUGGCGGCGUGCCUAAUACAUGCAAGUCGAGCGAACGGACGAGAAGCUUGCUUCUCUGAUGUUAGCGGCGGACGGGUGAGUAACACGUGGAUAACCUACCUAUAAGACUGGGAUAACUUCGGGAAACCGGAGCUAAUACCGGAGAAUAUUUUGAACCGCAUGGUUCAAAAGUGAAAGACGGCCUUGCUGUCACUUAUAGAUGGAUCCGCGCUGCAUUAGCUAGUUGGUAAGGUAACGGCUUACCAAGGCAACGAUGCAUAGCCGACCUGAGAGGGUGAUCGGCCACACUGGAACUGAGACACGGUCCAGACUCCUACGGGAGGCAGCAGUAGGGAAUCUUCCGCAAUGGGCGAAAGCCUGACGGAGCAACGCCGCGUGAGUGAUGAAGGUCUUCGGAUCGUAAAACUCUGUUAUUAGGGAAGAACAUAUGUGUAAGUAACUGUGCACAUCUUGACGGUACCUAAUCAGAAAGCCACGGCUAACUACGUG